AGGGGUUUGUUGUGAGGGAGCGUGGUGAGAGAAUGAGUGACGCGUCUUUUCUUUUAUCUUUUAUCUUUUUUUGUUUUAUUCAGCAUGUGGUGAGGAAUGAGAGUGGAAGAGUGAAAUGUGAGUGGGCACGUGGAAGAGAGACGUUGGAGUGGAUCUUCUGUGGAUUUUUAUUAUUUAUUUAUUUGUUUUUUUUUAUUUAAAAAAAAA
rnacentral:lncRNA from 1 species